rnacentral:rRNA from 1 species
CAAUAGCGGAGGAAAAGAAACCAACAGGGAUUGCCUCAGUAACGGCGAGUGAAGCGGCAAAAGCUCAAAUUUGAAAUCUAGCACCUUCGGUGUUCGAGUUGUAAUUUGAAGAUGGUAACCUUGGGUUUGGCUCUUGUCUAUGUUCCUUGGAACAGGACGUCAUAGAGGGUGAGAAUCCCGUCUGAUGAGAUGCCCAUUCCUAUGUAAGGUGCUAUCGAAGAGUCGAGUUGUUUGGGAAUGCAGCUCUAAGUGGGUGGUAAAUUCCAUCUAAAGCUAAAUAUUGGCGAGAGACCGAUAGCGAACAAGUACAGUGAUGGAAAGAUGAAAAGAACUUUGAAAAGAGAGUGAAAAAGUACGUGAAAUUGUUGAAAGGGAAGGGCAUUAGAUCAGACUUGGUGUUUUACGAUUAUCUUCUCUUCUUGAGUUGUGCACUCGUAUUUCACUGGGCCAGCAUCGAUUCGGAUGGCAAGAUAAUGGCAGUUGAAUGUGGCUUCACUUCGGUGGAGUGUUAUAGCUUCUGCUGAUAUUGCCUGUCUGGAUCGAGGGCUGCGUCUUUUGACUAGGAUGCUGGCGUAAUGAUCUAAUGCCGCCCGUCUUGAC